rnacentral:rRNA from 1 species
UACGGGGGGAGCAAGCGUUGUUCGGAUUUACUGGGCGUAAAGGGCGCGUAGGCGGCCUCUGCAAGUCAGUUGUGAAAUCUCCGGGCUUAACUCGGAAAGGUCAACUGAUACUGUGCGACUAGAGUGCAGAAGGGGCAACUGGAAUUCUCGGUGUAGCGGUGAAAUGCGUAGAUAUCGGGAGGAACACCAGUGGCGAAGGCGGCUUUCUGGUCGGCAUCUGACGCUGAGAAGCGAAAGCUGGGGGAGCAAACGGG